AAGAUAUGUCUUUUUAACCAAAACGUAGCGAUGCAAAUGUAGCCUAGAUCAUCUUCAUUAAUUAAAACAGAAGUUUGUAGAUCCCCCUGAGUGUUUUUUUUCUUGUAAAACAGAGCCAGAAA